rnacentral:tRNA from 1 species
GCCUGUGGCUAAGUGGUUAGAGCGUUGGCCUGCACACCAGAGGGUCUCGGGUUCAAGUCCCGGUCAAGGGCA